rnacentral:rRNA from 1 species
GACAAAAGUAUAGACAAUAGAAAUUUUUACCCUGGUGUGAUAGACAUAGUACCAUAAGGGAAAGAUGUAAGAACUGAAUCAAGCAUUAAAAAGCAAAGACAAACCCUUAUACCUUCUGCAUAACUAGAAAUAACUUUACACAGAGAACCAUAGCCAAGUCCCCCAAAACCAGAUGAGCUACCCAAGAACAGCUGAAAGAGCACACCCACCUAUGUGGCAAAAUAGGGGGAAGAUUCAUGAGUAGCAGCGAUAAGCCUACGGAGCCUGGUGAUAGCUGGUUGUCCAAGAUAGAAUCUUAGUUCAACUUUAAACUUACUCACAGAACUACUUAAUCUCCCUAUAAGUUUAACUGUUAAUUGCUGGGUGCGGUGGCUCAUGCCUGUAAUCCGCCAGGAUGGUCUCGAUCUCCUGACCUCGUGAUCUGCCUGCCUCGGCCUCCCAAAGUGCUGGGAUUACAGGCAUGAGCCACUGUGCCCGGCCAUCUCUUACUUUUAAUCAGUGAAAUUGACGUAUCCAUGAAGAGGCGGAUAUAAGACGAGAAGACCCUAUGGAGCUUUAAUUUAUUAAUGCAAAUAAAAACUCGAAAAAAAAAAAAAGCCUACAGGCCCUAGCCUACUAUCCCUGCAUUAAAAAUUUUGGUUGGGGUGACCUCAGAGCAUAAUCCAACCUCCGAACAACCUAAACUAAGACUGCACUAGUGUAAGCGAGUUAACACACACUGACCCAAUAAUUUGAUCAACGGAAUAAGUUACCCUAGGGAUAACAGCACAAUCCUAUUCUAGAGUUCAUAUCGAGAAUAGGGUUUACGACGUCGAUGUUGGAUCAGGACAUCCUAAUGGUGCAGCCGCUAUUAAGGGUUCAUUUGUUCAAUGAUUAGAAUCCUACAUGAUCUGAGUUCAGAUCGGAGUAAUCCAGGUCGGUUUCUAUCUAUUUAACAUUUUUCCU